CUCACCUCAAUGUCUCCGCAGGCCUGUUCCAUUGCCUGCAGAAGAGGCAUACGGCCAUGGGGUUGGCGGUCAUAUACGUACCAUCUCCAAGCGAAAAAAAAAAAAAUUCCUCUAUAGGAUUUAGAAAUGGCGAGUAAGGGGGCAAGUACACAACUUCAAAUUGAUCAUGGUUGGUGAACCAGUUCUGGACCAGAGCAGCCCGAUGGAAACUAACAUUCUCCCAGACAACAACAAACCUGGGCUGAUCUGGUCCAUCUUGUACAAUUGCAUUAUGAAGUGCAUCUAGAAAUGUGAUUAUGUGUUGCGCAUUAUAGGGACCCAGUUUGGCAUGAUGGUGCAGUAGCCCUCGAAGACUUAUGGCAGCACACAAUGUUAUAUUUCCCCCGCGCUGCCCCGGGACGUGCAAAAUUGCCCUUUGGCCAAUUAUAUUUUUUUAACAUUCUGGGAAAUAUUCGCACCUGAUGUCCUGGAGGUUUUUAAUGAGAGUCUGGCCUCUAGUUCCAUGCCGAUGUCCUGCCGCAGAACGGUGAUAACACUACUGCCGAAGGGGAACCUGCAGGACAUCGGCAACUGGCGCCCUGUGUCUCUACUGUGCGUGGAUUACAAGCUUCUGUCCAGGGUCUUUGCCUCCAGGCUGAGGGAAGCUAUGGAGCAGGUCAUCCAUCGGGACCAGACCUACUGUGUGCCCGGCAGGUCCAUGGUAGACAAUGUCUACCUCAUUCGAGAUGUUUUGGAGGUCGCCAGCUCGUUAGGGUGCGUAGAGGGGUCCGGCAGGGUUGUGCCCUGUCCGGAAUGCUCUAUGCACUCUCCCUGGAACCCCUUCUCAGCAGAAUACGCUCUAGCCUGGAGGGCUUGGUUUUACCUGGUUUUAGUAGGAACAUAUCAGCUUAUGCAGAUGAUGUUGUUGUUUUUAUUAAGGACCAGAGGGAUGCAGACCUUUUAAACAGCAUGGUGGAGGAUUUUAGCAAGGCAGCGAGGGUGAACUGGAGGAAAAGCGAAGCCCUUGCUGUCGGUGAAUGGCGUGACGGCCUCCCGGUUCUUCCCCAAAGGGCCAAGUUGGACGUCAGCAGCAGCGUCACCCCUGACCUGACGGGGGCGCUGCGAAAAACAAGAACAUUGUGCCUGCACCAGCCGGUGGACGCAGUGGGGCCGACGCUGAGCGAUGCCCCGGCCCUGGGCUCACUGCUUGGGCUGCAUUUGGUCCGGGGGGCGGGGAGGCUCCUGGAACUGUGGAGCCAAAGGCUGACGGGGGAAGAAAAGAGCCUCCUCAUGGAAUACAGCCAGAAGAAGAUGAUACCGGACCCUGCAGACCCAUUUCCAGAGAUCUACCUGAGUCCGGGGCUAGGGGAUCUCACCGGCCAGUCUAUGAGCUCAGAGAGACUAUUUAUCAUGUUUUUACUGAGUGUAAGCGACUCGCAGGUUUCUUCUCUCUUUUAACAUUGGUUUUUAGUCUUUUUAGCGUGUUUUUUACGGAAAGGGUUUUUAUUAUGGGAGCUGCCUACAAGAAAACGGAAAAAGAAAAAUGGCAGCUCCUUAACUUUCUGUGCGGAGAGGCAAAAAUGGCAAUUUAUUUAAGCAGAAAAAACAGAGAGGAGAACCGAGAGGGGCAGGAGGCAAAAGUGAUAUGCCUGUGCAACAUUAGAGCAAGGCUCUAAUGGACGCUUUUAAACAGCGCUGGUGUUUUAAUGACAUUGUUUGUUCUGUGGUCAAUGGCGAGCUGGUAUUUGCACGUUUUUAGCAGGUGAUUACAUAGUUUUACUUUUUUUUUUUUUUUUUAAUGUUGUAUUUUUUCUUGGAAGGAAAAAACAACAACAACAAAAAGUGGCACGUGUGAUCAUGUCUUUCUCCCGUCCUCCUCCUCUCUUUCCAUUCAUUCCCCUCUCCCUUCUUCACCCUCUUUCUUUCUCCCCUCUUUCUCCCUUCCUCCUCCUCUCUUUCCAUUCAUCCCCCUCUUCCUUCCUCACCCUCUCGCCCUUUUUCUUUCUCUCUUCCUCCCUCCCUCUCUUUCACCUUUGCUCUCUCUAGUGUGCUCUCUCCUUCUACCCUCCACAAUGCCAACAUGGAGGGAAUUUUACUGUAGUGUUUU
ensembl:lncRNA